UACGAAGGGGGCUAGCGUUGUUCGGAAUUACUGGGCGUAAAGCGCGCGUAGGCGGCUUUGUAAGUUAGAGGUGAAAGCCCGGGGCUCAACCCCGGAACUGCCUUUAAGACUGCAUCGCUUGAAUCCGGGAGAGGUGAGUGGAAUUCCGAGUGUAGAGGUGAAAUUCGUAGAUAUUCGGAAGAACACCAGUGGCGAAGGCGGCUCACUGGACCGGUAUUGACGCUGAUGUGCGAAAGCGUGGGGAGCAAACAGG
rnacentral:rRNA from 1 species